UAUAUGGGCUUUACUGAAACUUGUCAAAGGGAUGCCUUUUAUAGCUGGUAUGCUAUCCGUAGACAUGCUAUCAGCGUUGCAUUUUUAGGACCUGAGUAUAUGAUGAUGACACAUUAUGUCUGGUAUGCAGAGAUCCGGGUGUGAUGGAGGUGUAGACAUACAGAGAGCAAAGCAGAAGACCAUACACAUGUACAUUAUUGGAAAAGUAGUCAGGUUAACUUGGCCACCUCACAGGAAUAUCUUUCUACAGACGAGAAAGGGAUGGAGGGCUAACAGUCAUGCGUCAUUCAUUUAGGGAAGUCCAAUGUUGACACCAACAUCUGACCUUGGAUACAAGAUACACCCAGUUUAACCAUUGACGUGCCACUAAAACUUAAUAGUUCACUCAGAGUAUCUGUAUCUGAGCGCGGCCUUAAUUCAGCUACAGGACCCUGUGGUAGGAUCCACUUCAUGCCUGCAAUUAUCUAAUGUUCAACCCUAUCAAAGCACACUCCAAGAAUAGCUCUAGAAUUAAGGACUGUGGUCUGGCACAUAGAGCUUGUGAGAAAAUAACUUAUUUAUCUUAGCAGUGGCACUCUCACAUCUUUCCACCAAUGCCUUCCAAAGUGAACCACAUUUGGAACAGCUGAUACCAAGGCCCACUCAUCUGGUCAAUGUUGAAGAAGCACUUCUGUGCUGAAUGUGUGGCUGGCAUCUGACUACAGGAGGACAUUGUCAGGCAAUGACAUCAUGGUGCUCCCACUUCCAUUCCAGGCAUGCUUUGAUCUCUUAGGGCCAUCCAGGUGAAAUGUGUAAGCAGAUCUGAGAGAGGAGACUGAUGCUUGAUCCUACAGCCCCUCUAUGUUUAGCUCUGCCACAAGAGUAUUAAUGAAGUUUUACGGACAUUUGUAAUGGAAACACAACGGAUGUCUGUCUUCAAGACUUGUAAUAUAUUCGAGGAAAGAAUUCAUCUUCUUCAGACUAAAACUCUAGUCAGUGUAACAACUCUGGAGGAGCUGCAGAGAUUCCCAACACUGAGGGGAAAAGGAGUGAAGGGGAACUAACGCUGCACAUCAUCCUCAAUGCACCAACCCUCUGGUCAGACAUCAUGAUGUUGUCAUCAUGCAUUAAGGGUGCUUAUUGCACCAUAGUCCAGACAUUAAUCCAGUUGACAAUGUGUGGCAAGAAUUGAAAAUGUCUGUCCUCCGGCGCUCUCCAUUCGAUGCAAAUGACUUUGAGCCAUUUUGGAAAGAAGAAUGGUCAAAGAUUUCAGUCUCUAUGUCAAAGCACCCAAAACCUUACUGCAAAAAGCGA